UCCUUGUAAGUUGCUUUGGAUAAAAGCGUCUCCUAAUUGUAAAUGGAGUGUUGUGUCUUAACUGAUAAAUACUGAUGCAAAGAAAAGGACUGAAAUGCUGAAAUUUCAUAAAUAUUUAUUCCAUAUCAAUCAACAAAAAAUGAACUACUUUCACAGCAGUGGUCAACAGCACUUAAUAAAAUAAAACGUUCAAAUAAUAAUCAGAAUAAUUGUUUAGUUUUGUUUGAGGCCACAUUUUGAAACACAAAACAUUUACAAGUAGUACUGUAAGUACUUGGCAUUAAAAACAAUGGCGAUACAAUAUUUUAAGACACUUGGUGUUUUUUGAAGUGUUUUUUUUUCUUUUCUCUUUCGUUUUGAUAAGACCGAGGCUCCGUGACAGUCUAAACAGCACUUACUGACUCACACACGACACCACUGCUAAGAGGACCUCAGAGAAGACAGGGGUGGGUGCAAACAGAACAGGCUGAACAGUCAAACAAAAGAGAGAAAGACAACAGAAGAUAGAAAAAAAAAAAAAAAAAAAAAAGACAAUUUAUAUUUUUUUAUAAUUUGCUUAAUUAACUCUGUGACCAAGAGUCUUCUUCUGCUCAUGCCAGUCACUGCGGGGAUAGAGCUCAUAAAUAACAAGUACAGUUCAUCUGCAAAAAUAUUCCCAUAUUUUUUUUACCUUUUUAAAUCCCGUCCCUUUUUUUCGGACUGCUACUAGUGUUCAAAGAUUUUGUACAAAGAGAGGUGGAAUUGUGAAUGAAUGAUGAACAGAGAGAGAGGAGGAGUGUGAGAAAGGGAGGGAGAAAAAGACACAGACAGAAAGGGGUAGGAGGAGUGGACUAGACAGGUCAAAGAAUAGUUCUGUCUUCUGUCCACAAGAUGGCGCUUCUGUGCCAAACGCCACAGAAAAGAGGACACCUCUAUCCUGUACACACUGCCUUGCAGAUCCAAAGCAAGCAUGCUAACCCUUUAGCUGACAAUACCAAGAGACCCAAACAGCCCUGUAGGCGGUGUGUUCAGUCUAGACAGCUAGCUCUAAACGUGUUUUUGUUUACGGAUAUAAAAGUAUGGCUAAGGCUGAGCAGACGGCCACGUCUGCGUCUCCGUGACGACCUGGCACACUGUCUCCACAAGGCCUGAGGUCCCCACUUUAUCUCCGGUGUCCUUGUCAUGGUCUACUUCAGUGGUUCUCAAACUUUUUGUCCGGGGACCCCAUAAAAUCCAUUUGCCAAGUCUCGCGACCCCCAACACAUUUUGACAGGAUAUUAUAGGUCUAAAUUCAGUUUCAUCUUGAAUGAUGAGACUGCUUGCUGAGAAAAUAUUAGUUUUCAUUAUCCAUCCUGAUGUAGAAAACACCAUUUCUGAUAGACUAUACAGCAUGUCAAAGCCUAAUAUGUUGACGCACAGGGCAGCAAGAUCAUUUCGCGACCCCCAAAAAACGUUUGGCGACCCCACUUGGGAUCCCGACCCCUAGUUUGAGAACCACUGGUCUACUUAACUACGUGAUCAGUAAUCGCAUGUACUUCCCAUGAUAACCAUACUACUAACUACCAUACAUCCCACUAAGCAUCACACUACACUAAAAACCCAAGUUACUCUUGUGAUAGCUGAUGUGCUAACAUGAGAAGUACACUGCACUUAUCAUUCAAUAAUGUAUUAAGUACACAGUACUGAAGGACAAUUCAGCCAAAGUGAGACCAGCCUGUCUCCCUGAGAGGGCUGACCAGACAUCAUCCGCUAGUGUGGAGGUCAAAGGUGAAGGAGGUCAAAGGUGAAGGAGUUCAAAGGUCAAGGAGUUCAAAGGUCAAGGAGUUCGCUAAAGUCUCUCAGCUGAGAGAGGGUUCUAAGUCUAGCGCUAAAUAUCCAGCUCACCAUCUAAUGACUGCACCAAUGUGCAGAGGCAUGCAGGUGUUCGUGUUUGUGAAGCCCUUGGCAGGUGUUUGUUGUGAAGCCUAUGUCAGGUGUUUGUGAAGCCUAUGUCAGGUGUUUGUGAAGCCUAUGUCAGGUGUUUGUAAAGUGUUUGUUAAGCUUAUGUCAAGUGUUUGUUAAGCAUAUGUCAGGUGUUUGUGAAGCCUAUGACAGGUGUUUGUGAAGUGUUUGUUAAGCUUAUGUCAGGUGUUUGUGAAGCCUAUGUCAGGUGUUUGUGAAGCCUAUGUCAGGUGUUUGUGAAGCCUAUGUCAAGUGUUUGUUAAGCUUAUGUCAGGUGUUUGUGAAGCUUAUGUCAGGUGAUUGUAAAGCCUAUGUCUUGACUUGUAGAGGGGCAACGCGUGAGAGUUUCGGGUCACGUUUCAUGUAGAGGUUUGUAGAGGAGCUUGUGUCAUUACACUGACCUGGACAUUGAUUUUUUUUGCUGUUGAUAAAUCCUUUUCUGAAUUAGAAUCAUGAUUUACUGACUGGUAGAAAAUGGGAGUCGGGGUCAACUAGAGGCUGUAAGAAAGUGGCACUUGAGAGACUCACUGGCCCGGACUUCCUGAUACCACACACACCGAUAUAUAGACGCAACACUACAGAAGGUGAUGGAGAGAUGGAGAGAACAAGAAGGAGUGAGAGAGAGAGAGAAAGAGAGAGAGAAAGAGAGAGAGAGAGAGAGAGAGACAGAGAGAGGAUAGUGUCCAAAACAGUGAGACAUGAACAGCAUAGAAACAUCAUACAUUUACAGAUAUUACAUACAUAUAUUUAUAUUUAUAUAUAUAUAUAUAUAUAAAUAUAUAUUAUAUAUAUUUAUAUAUAUAAUAUGUGUGUGUUUUAUAUGUGUAAUAUCAUCUACAAAUACGACCUAUAAAGAUAUAUAUGAUUUUUGUCCACACGUGCGCACCCACCUAUUCAGAUGCUCACAACCCAAUAUGCAUAUAUUAUAUUUUAUUCUCACUUACACAGAAAGUAUCACAUAAUAUACAACAAAUAUAUGUAUUUAUAUAUGUAUUCCUUUAAAAAAAAAAAAAGAGAAAAUAUAAAAAAAAGAUACAACCAAAACAGGACACUCGGGGUUAAAGUCGUGUUUUUUGUCAUCGUGCCUUGGGUGCGUCAAUUUACAUUCAUGUUUGGUCUCCAAGGAAACCGUAAACAUUUACUUCUGUUGUUUGUUUGUUUAUGUUUAUCUUGGCUGAUGUCUGUAAACCAAACCUAUCUAGCCACUGUGAUUGGGGGCCACACUAAGAGGUUGCGGACCUACAGUAUAUGGUGGUGAUAUGGUGAUCACCUUCCCUUAUUCGAGCCUAAAUGCUUGACUGAUUCUCCUCCCCGCUCUCUCUUAGGAAAGGAGAUAAUGGCGACCCACAAUUCCUUGUGGCAGAAACAUCGAACAAUCAGUACGACCCGCGUCAAUAACAUCCGCCGUUGCAUAAUCACGUGGCCUAGAGCAAGUGCAGUGGGAUUCUCCUAGCACUGCGGAUGUCUUUCCCAGGUCCUUGUGAAUUCUCCUUCACAUCUUUCUUUGACCUCUUUGACGUUUUCCAUCAAGGUCAAGGAAAAAUAGUUAGGAAAAGACACAGGAUGUAUUUUUGGACUACCUGACCACAACCUUAGUCCUCCUCACGAGGACUUUUCCUACUCCUGAUAAAGUCUUGGUUCAAACAGAGAGGCACAUUCACGUAUGUCUAUCUUUAAACUUCUCUUUUCUUUAAACUUCUCUUCUCUAUAAACUUAUCUUCUCUUUAAACGUCUCUUCUCUAUAACCUUCACUUCUCUUUAAACUUCUUUUCUCACUAAACCUUCUUUAAACUUCUCUUCUCUAUAACCUUCUCUUCUCUCUAAACUUCUCUUCUCUUUAAACUUCUCCUCAGACUGCUACAAGUCCUUAGGUCUAGUCUGGGUUAGGUUUUAGUCUUAAUCCCUAUCUCAGGUCUGACUGUAUUUAAUAUGGGGACUGGGACACACACGCACACACACACACACACACACACACACACACACACACACACACACACACACACGCACAGAGAGAGAGAGAGAGAGAGAGAUAGAACAUACAUACAAGAACACACACCCAUGCACACAUACACAGAAGCAAACUCACCCACACACACAGACCAACACACACACACACACACACAACGAACACGCACACCACCCGAUUGAUUCUACUGCAUUUGACAUCCCACGACACACACCACAUCCACAUCUGAAGCCAUGAGGCUGCCACAGCGGCUGAUACAGGCAAACAACUGAAAUGAAACGGACAGGAAAUAAACAAACAAACAAAAAUCGCCAAACAACUUGGAGAGAGGGGAUGCCAUGGGAGAGGUGCAUUGUGGGAUUGUCAUCACUUUAGAUCCAGGAUGUCCUCCUCGAAGGAUGUGGCCAAGGGGUUGGUCAGGGGCGGGCUUGACUCCUGUGGCCCAGCCUCUGAGCCGGUGGAGCAGUGAAGCUGGACAUCUGAUUCGCCGUCCACAAGCU
ensembl:lncRNA